rnacentral:rRNA from 1 species
UACGGAGGUGGCAAGCGUUGUCCGGAAUCAUUGGGCGUAAAGCGCGUGUAGGCGGUCCGGUAAGUCCGCUGUGAAAGUCGGGGGCUCAACCCUCGAAUGCCGGUGGAUACUGUCGGGCUAGAGUGCGGAAGAGGCGAGUGGAAUUCCUGGUGUAGCGGUGAAAUGCGCAGAUAUCAGGAGGAACACCGAUUGCGAAGGCGCUGCGCUGGGACGUUACUGACGCUGAGACGGCGAAAGCGUGGGGAGCAAACAGG